rnacentral:lncRNA from 1 species
AGAUUGAUAAUGUUCACAGAGAUAGUGGCAACGACACUGUCAUCUUCUUUACGGAUCAUGUUCCCGCUCCCAAUUCUCAUCCCCCACCGACGCCUGGUGCAGAUGCAACUGUGCUUCUAAAUUUUUGUUCAUCCAUGGAUCCAGAUUCCCAAACUUCUGUGGAUGUAUAUCCUCCGCCUGAUGCUUGCUCGACGUCGAAUGCCACUAUGGUUGACGGUGUUGUCAUUACUGAAACUUCCGUGGAUGUAUGUCCCCCAGUCUGCUACUCCAUCGACCUCAAAUACUACUACAGUGAACGGUGCUGUCACUCUCUAGAAGCAGAGGAGGCUCAGGGAAAGGAAAGUCCCUUCUACUCCUUUCUCCAGAGCUAUGGAGUAAGUUAAUCCAUACUUCCACUCACUGCUAUUAGUGUAUAUUAUCAACUGGCAUGUUUAUGCAAUUCUGUUACAAAAAAAUACACUUAAUAACUUCAGUAAACAGGGUGAGAAUAUAUGAUUCAUGAUAGUCUCAAUAAAGUAUAGUUGUUUUAAUUUAUUCACUUAGUAUCUGAUAUAGGGCACAAUGUAAUGGAUUUAUGUUUCACUAGUGUUUGAAGAAAACAAAAUGAGUGAUGUCAAAAUACGAGGCUUAUUUUAUUUGUCUGAUGAAUAUAAAUCUUUCAAUUUAGUUUCUGUAGUUGCCUUUUUGGACUGCAGCAAUUACAUAUUUCAUCUUCAAUAAGCAACAUCUAACUGUUUAAUCUCAAGAGAAAAUGAUAUUAUCAUGAGUUUAGUUUUAUUACUUGAAGUAUGAUUGAAGGUUUCCUGGACUUGGAGCUGGUCUUGCUUGGGGACACUUCAGGAGUCUACAAAGAGGGUCUUGUUUGGUAUGCCUAACUCAGAAAACAACCAACAUGCUCUUUCCCCAUACUUGUGUGAGAGAAAUGCAGAACUUUUAGCUCUUGCAUUAUGCAUAAUGCGUGGAGCAGCUCUUAAAUUAGGUCAAAUGUUGAGCAUCCAGGAUGAAUCUCUCGUACUUGCUCCACUAUGUAACUGCAUAUUCAUUUAGAUUACUAGUUCUUGCAUGUUAUAUGAUUGUAUGCAUGCCCGAACAUUCUCCUUCUCAUUUAUGACAAAAGUAUCGCCCCAAUUAUUUUUCGAACAUAAUUGUUCUGGCAGUUUAUGGCUAUCCUUUGGUGCACACAUAUGGUGCAUCAGUUCUCUCAACUUGCCAUAUCUCCUUAUUCACUUGAUUUGACUUCAUUUAAAUUUUUACUAGAAUGAUGUUUUACAGUGUAACCAAAUAAAUAUAGAAGCUUGUUUGAACAAGAAGUCAUGUUGGGAUAAAGUUCUACUUUAGAAAAAAAAACUAGUGUUGAAUUAUCAUAUUUUGUGAAUCGUACUUGUAGAAUAGAGUUGCAAAAUGUUUACACUUCUAGAUUAGAAAAAAAGUGCUUUAUUAAUGCGCUGGUUGAUUUAGUUGUGGCAACUGCAAACAUUUUAAUGAUGAUGGUUUAUGUGCAUGGAUCACUUGACAAAAUUUUAUAUGUUAUGAGAUCUUUACAUUGUGGUUUUCUUAUGGGGUUGUGAGACUGAGAUUUUUUUUCUUAUAAGCAUGCAGAUGAGGGCAAUGUUUUUUCUUUUUAGAAGUUCAAACUUCCAUGACCACAUUCAAUCUUCGAAUUGUUUUAACCAACAUUUCCAUAUCCUUACAAACUAUAAUUUUAUGGUUUCUGAUUAACCGUAAUAACUCAUAUGCCAUUUCUGAUAUUAACAGCUAUAGACAUUGUCCGUCAGGGUGCUGAUCGGAUGCCAAGGAAUAAGCUCAAUCAGGUUUUGGAUGCUGAAUUUUGUUCCAACUCGUUAUCAAAUUUGACGAGUGUUGACUAUGAGCCAAUGGAUGCGGCAAGUAUAGGACUGGUGAUGAAGUACAGCGAUUUAAUUUAUGCUUAUAUUUAAUUCCCAUUGUGCGAUUUCAGUUGUGCAAUCAAUUCAUUCAAUAUUUCCCUAUAUUUGUUGUUAAUUAGCUAUAUCUGAACAUGGGUGAAUUGGAAAGAAAUAUGUGCAACUGAUCUGUAUAUAGUUUGAUAAGAAGUACUCGAGCUCAGUUUUAGCACAUCUUAGAUGACAGAUGAUGGUGUUAUUUGAUUACAAUAGUAAGUACCAAAACUGGAGGCAUUUCAUCAAAAUAUUUCACUAGAUCUUAUUCAUCUGCUGCUGUUGUGUUUCAUCUCUUGAAUCCUUCUUCUUCUAAAAUAACUUUAGGUCCAUCGUGCUGUCACGAAGGAAGAUUUGGAGGUUACAAUCAAAAUCCAGUAUCCAGGAAUUGCAGAUAGCAUUGAAAGUGACAUUGAUAAUGUUAAACUGCUAUUAACUUAUACAAACUUGUUACACAAAAAAAUGUACCUCGAUAGUGCAAUGAAGGUAGUGUUUUUGCGUUCCAGUAUUUUGCUUACUUUUAUGAAGAUUUAUGAUGUAUAUUACAAUAGAUAAUUCUUGGGCCUCAUUACGAGUAAGCAUGUGUCUUCUUGUAUUAAAAUUUGUGUUAUGCCUGCAACACUAUGAGGACCCUAGUUUAACAAGCUCGAGUAUGUUAUUUUCCUUCAAUAAUUGGUGUUGUUUGCUUUGUUGCAGCGUUACUUGUCUCAGUGAUUUGAUUGUUGGUUUGCUUACUCUUUCUUGUUUUUGUUGGCUCGAUCAUGCUUCUGGAACAGAUACGCUUGAAUCAACUUAGAUAAAACUACCACUUUAUGUCAUUGGAUAUCUAAUUUGGCUUAAACUACUAAAAUUUGCAUUUUGAUGCCCCACGAAAUUCCUGUGUUGUAAAAUCUUUAGCUAGGAGAGUCUCUCAAUUUGUUAGUUUUCUGUAGAAUGUUAAAAAAAAAAAAGGUAUUGGAAUAAAAGAGAGGUAUUGGUAAAAAAAUAUUUAUUGUCAGAAAAGAGAAAAAACAAAGAGAAGGUAGUGGAGACUUUAAUUGAGUCAUGACUAGAUACCCACAAUGCUGGAAUUUGUGAUUUGUUGCAAGUUCACUAGAUGUGACUGUUCCAGUUUUUUGCGACAAAGAUGUUGGUUGCAAAUAUAUAAUAAUAUGAAAUGCAAACUAAAAUAAUGGCUUUGGUUUGUCUGUUGAUCCUAGACCUUAAGUUACCUUGUGACAUGAACUUAUGGAAGUAUACCAAGUGAAAUAGUACAGGUAGUUCAGCUUUGGUUGAGGAAUCAAUGCUUGAAUUUACUGGAAUUUUAUUUGCAUUGGGUGCAUGUUGUAUGUGCUGAUAUUUAUUAUUAACAUGUGGUCGUAUGUGUCUCCAGAUGGAACCUGUAUUUGUGCUAAUACUCAUUGUUAGAAUGGAAAAGGUGAAAAAAAAACUAGAAUUCAAACAACAGCCAAAAACAAUUUUAUUAUAGCAGAGUUACAAUAUCGAAUGAACCCACUCUCUGAUAUAGAGAUGGGAAAAGACUACUAAAGAAAGGCUUCUUCCAUAAGACAUACAUACUAACAUAGAUAAACAAAAAUUACCCAAUAUAAUAGGUUUUCAGUCUAAGACAAUUUCCAAAAUAUUGUCAGCUGUAACUUUGAGGUUACAUGAGUUGUUAUGAAGUAUUGUUGCUUCAAUAAAUAAUAGGGUAAAAUUACAAACACCCCCCCUAGGUAUGGUCAAUUUACAAAAAAACCCCUCUUGUUUGGAUAGUUACAUCUACCCCCCUCAACUAUGAUUUUUUCAUACACCUCCACCCUUAUGGUGUCAAAUUCAACAUAAUCAUCUUAAUUUCGUGGAAUGUGCUCUAAGUUGUACUCGUGUUGUGGAAAAAUACAGUUUGUGAUGCACCACAAUCUGAUAUUUACAAGCCAAAAAACACAUAUUAUGAUCAUCUUGCUUCCAAAAUGUAGAGAUCGAAUGGGAUAAAACGGGUACAAAAGUGAUAAUAUUCCAUAUAAUCUCGAAGAUUCCACCAAAUUUGAGGAGAUGGGGUGGUUAUAAUUAUCCAAACAAGAGGGGGGUUUUCGUAAUUUGACCAUACAUCAGGGGGUGGUUGUAAUUUACCCUAAAUAAUAUUGUAAGACCAUGUAGUAGGUCCAGAAAGUAAUAAUCUAAAGAAGGUAAAGAGUUAUGUCAAGAGUUGUGUCCCAAAAUAGUUGGAAUAAACCUCGCAAUACUUGUCUUCACAGUGGUAUGCUUAUCAAUCAAUCAUGAGUCGGAAGCUUUGAUCUCAUUUCAAAUAUUUUGUCUUCUGGCUUCUUCAAAUUAUGAUAUAAAUUAUUUCUUAGUGGGUCUGAAGAUGUCUCUCAAGCCUUAAACUUUAUGCACCUUUCUGACUGCAACUUUUACGACCUGACCUAAAAAUCAGAAAGGAUUUCGGAGUCUCCUGACUAAUACAAAGGGCUUUUAUGUUCGAUUUGUGUUGUAUAAUAUAUCUAGUAAAGGAGUCAUAUCAACAUAAUUGGUCCGUGGUAUUUUCUUCACUAUAUCUUGUUUUUCUUUUCCUACAAUAAUAUUAGAAUAAUAAGUAAAAAUAAUUUGGCUGUAAUAGAAAAAGGGAUAAUAGGCUCCAUGCCCUUACCAUGUGUUUCUACCUUAAAUUUAGUAUGCUACAAUUGAACAUGUAACACCCCACGUAUCCAAAACCCUAACACUCGAAUUUACUAUUCCUAAUUCGAGUAUCCUUAGGUGGUAUUAUUAUGUAAUAUUAAUUAUAUGAUCUACGUGAGUCUAAUUGCGCGUUUUACGUGAAUAAUUACAUGCAUUAUUUAAUUAUUCGGAAUAAGGUGAUUACAUGAUAUUUAUUUGUGAGUAGAUAUGUAUAUGUGAUUUAUGCGAUUUAAAUUUCCGUAAAUUAAAAUACUAGCAAAUUACGUAACUUGUGUCUUAUUUAGUUGGUAGAUUAUUGUUAUACUAAAGUGUAUUUAUAUAUAUAUACAUACAUAUACUACAUGCAUAUACUACAUGCAUACAUGAUUACAUGCGUACGUGUAUAUACAUAUAUGUGUAUACACCAUUAUACAUGUGUGGCUUGCGUAGUGAGGGGAUAUUGUUUAUUUAUAUAUAUGUAUGUGUGUGACUGUGUAUAUAUGUCUGCAAGUUGUGUUUAUUUUAAAUAAAUAAAUUAGUACCUUUCCACUUGGCAAAUUGCCAUCAUUUUCCCUAAUCCUACACACAAUAGAUGAUUAGUAAGAUGAAGAAACACUCUUCAUUCUUCUCCUCCCAACACAUAAACCCCCUAUUUUUCUUCUCCUCCCCUCUCCACCGAAGCCACCACCUCCACCGUCGGCCUCCUCUUCUUCCACCUCAAACUCCAAAUUUUCAAGAAAAUCAAAAAUAGAAAUGAAGGUCCCCUAUUUAACCCUUGCUUUAGACUACACCAAAACAACCAUCAAGAAUUCUUUCCUACUCACGGAAGAUAACAAUACAUCCCUCUUAGAAGCUCACACCAUCUCCUUCACAAUCAAAUUAAGUGGCUUGGUUAGAUUUCGGUGUUUGAAAGCAUUCCCUCCUUCGGUUGUUUUUUUUUCUUCGAUUUUAAGGUAAGAAAUUCCGGUUUCUUGCUGCAAUUAGGAGGUAUCAAUAGUAUACAAAGAGUUUUCAAAAUUUCUUAAAAGACUUGGAGUGAUUUCGAAAAAAAUUAGGGGCUUUUUGGGAAAAAAAUGGAGAAGAUGUGUUGACUGUUGAUUUCUUGUUCUUGCAUGCAUCAUUUAUGUUGGUAGUUGGUAGAUACAAUUUUUAUUGGCCAAAAUCAUUGAAAAUUUCGGAUUUCAAAAAGUGGUUGCAAGAAAAAUGAAAUUUUGAACUUUUAUGGGGUUGCAUGUGUAGAUCGAAAGAUUUUUUGGGUCAAAUCUGUAAUUUUCUAGAAGUCAGUCCUAAAUGUGUUUUCAAAUCUGUUUUUCAGCAUUUAUUCAGUAAAAUUUUCGGAUUUAAAGAGGCUUUGCAAGAAAAAAUGAUUUUCGAACUUCUAGUGGUCUUGCAUGUAUAGAUCUAGAGAUUUCGGGGUAAAAUAUGUAAUUUUCAAAAUUUUUGCAUCAAAUAACUUUUAACUUUGUUUUCUGCAAUUAUUGAAUAAAAAUUUCUGAGGGUCAGGGGUUUUUCAUGAAAAAGUGGAUUUUGAACUUCUAGUGUGGUUGCAUGUGUAAAUCUUGUAACUUUGGGGUUAAAACUGUAAUUUUUGAAAACACUGUCAUUUCUAAAAUUUGAAAUAUGUUUUCCAGCAAAUAUUAAAUGGGAAAAUAGUUUUAUGUACAAAGGUUCCAAAAUAAUUAAGUUAUAUUAGAGUUUUUGAUUUUUACAAGAAAAAGGGGAUGUUUCUAGUUUUUAAUUCCAAGAAAAUUCGAAACUAUAUGAAAAUCUAAAUUAAUUUUGGAAACUAAAACUUUGAUCAGUUAGAAGCACUAGGAUUUUUAAUUUGGGAAUUUUUGGAAUGGGUUUAUUAUUAUUUGGAAAGUUGGACAUUUUGCAUGCCAUUUAUUAUGUUUUGUGCUUUAAUUUCCAUGUCUUUGAAUAAAUGAUUAUGAGUAAUGAAACUUGAGAUGUUGAACCUAAAUUACUGCAUGGAUGUGUUAAUGGCUACUAGAAUUUAUUUGGAAUGAAUUAUUACCUAGAAGUGGUAAUAAGUUCAUUAAAAGAAAGAUAAAGAUGACCCUUGCUUUUCAAGCAUGAUUUGAUUAUUAAAUGUGAUGUUUUAAAUGUGUUGGUUGCAUGUGUGUGUGUGCGCUGAAUGUGUAUGUGUGUGUGGUUGUGUGUAUUUAAUUGUGUGAAUUUGGGGAGUUUUCCCAAAUUAUAAAUGUGUGGUAAGUUGUGAUAUUUGUGUGGUUUUGUGGCACUUGAUUGAUAUUUGUGAUAUUAUGUGAGGAUUAUGUAAUUGUUGUAAGUAUGAUUUUGAAAAUGGUGCAUUUCACGUUUUUUUUUAUUUGAAAGAUUAAUAGAAUACCGGAUAAUAAACAACUCGGAUAUAGAGGGCCGGUAUCCAACUAGGAUGAAAUGUUGUGGUUUGAUUCCACUUAGUGAAAAUUGGCUCGUAAUCGGUUUAUUAUUCAUGUACAUAAAUUAAUCUUUCACGGACCCGAUAAAACUUUAAAGUUGCAGUCAGAAAGGUGCAUAAAGUUUAAGGCUUGAGACAUCUUCAAACCGAGACAAAAUAUUUGAAAUGAGAUCAAAGCUUCCGACUCAUGAUUGAUUGCUAACCAUACAACCGUGAAAGACAAGUAUUGCGAGGUUUAUUCCAACUAUUUUGGGACACAACUCUUGACAUAAUUCUUUACAUUAUUCAGAUUAAUUACUUUCUAGACCUACUACAUGGCCUUACAAUAUUAUUUAUUGAUGCAACAAUACUUCAUAACAGUUCAUGUAACUUCAAGUUACAGCUGAUAAUAUUUUUGAAAUUAUCAUAGACUCGAAACCUAUUAUAUUGGGUAAUUUAUGUUAUCUACGUAAGUAGAUUUCUGCAUGUCUUAUGGAAGAAGCCUUUCUUUAGUAGUUUUUACGACCUGGCCUAAAAAUCAGAAAAGCUUUCGGAGUCUCCUGACUAAUAGAAACGGCUUUUAUGUUCCAUUUGUGUUGUAUAAUAUAUCUAGUUAAAGAUUCAUAUCUACAGAAUUGGUCCCUCGUAUUUGCUUCACUAUAUCUUGUUUCUCUUUUCCUACAAUAAUAUUAGAAUAAUAAAUAAAAAUAAUUUGGUUGUAAUCGAAAAAGGGAUAAUAGGCUCCAUGCCCUUACCAUGUGUUUCUACCUUAAAUUUAGUAUGCUAGUUUGGAAAUAAACUUUAUUUGUUGUUUUUGAAAGAAAAUGCAGGGGAAAGUAAGUACAAUGUAUAAAUUGGAAAAGUUAAGGUUAUUCAUGCAUAUAGUACGCUUAGUUCAUCAAGUAAGUACAAUGUAUAAACUCGUAAAGUUUGGGUUAUUUAUGGAUAUAUUACACUAUGUUCAUCAAGUAAGUACAAUGUAUAAACUGGUAAAGUUAGGGUUAUUCGUGAAUAGUACGCUUUGGUUGGCCGGGGAGAGUGGGAGGGUAGUGGGGGGGGGGGGUGCUGGUUGGUGAGCUUGGGCCGGAGAGAUAGGGGCUGGUUGGUGGGCUUGGGCCGGAGAGAGGUGGGGGAUUGGUUGGUGGGCUUGGGCCGGAGAGAGGGGAGCUGGUUGGUGGGUUUGGGCCGGAGAGAGAGGGGCGGGUUGGUGGGCUUGGGGCCAGAGAGAGAGUGUUGUGCUGGUUGGUGGGCUUGAGCCGAAGAGAGAGAGAGUGGCUGGUUGGUGGGCUUGCCCGGAGAAAGAUGGGACUAGUUGUUGAGCUUGGGCUGAGAUAGAUGGGUUGGUUGGUGGCAUGGGCUCGGAGAGAGAUAGGGGAUUAGUUGGUGGGCUUGGGCCAGAGAAAGGGGGCUGUUUGGUGGGCUUGGGCCAGAGAGAGGGGGUGGUUGGUUGGCUUGAGCCGAAGAGAGAGAAGGGUGCUGGUUGGUGGGCCUGGAGAGAUAGGGGCCUGGUUGUUGGGCUUGGACCGAAGAGAUAGGGGCUGGUUGGUGGACUUGGGCCGAAGAGAGAAAAAAGGGGUUGGUUGAUAGGCUUGGGCCGGUUAUAGUGAGGGGGGUUGAUUGGUGAGCUUGGGCUGGGGAGAGAAAUGUUGAAAUAGUGGACUUUUGGAGUAUGGGCUUGGCCAAUUUAGCCCAAAUCACAAAUCAAAUGAAAAAUCAAAAUUUCAUAGAAGAUCUAAUAUGAUGAAUAAUAACAUAUUAUUUAACUAACUAAUAAAAAAAAAAUAAUCAAAUCAUCUGUAUAUAACGGAAGAAGCCCUCAAUUCUCGAAUAAUUUAGGAAUGGAAUUAGGUUUGUGAUAUUUUGUAUUGGUAAUAGUCUGUGUUAGGAAUAUUAGAAAGUCUUGGGCACAACAUUACCAACGCAGCGGCAAGACAUAAGCUGGUUCCGUUUGCAUUGUAUGUGGACAAAGAAUGGACACAUUACGUGAUUAACUCAUACAAACAGAGUAGGGUAUUCCGUAGUUACAUCCCAUUAGAAUAGUUGUGGGCUGAUCGAUUGAAUUUUUUGGGGUAGCUAUGUUUGACUCAUACAUCGAUGGUAUCUUUAAGGGACAUUGCGAGAGUGUUGGAUAGGUUAUCUCUGGUGGCUAAGGAGGGCAUCAGCCGCUCCAACACCGUUCCAUUGGAAACCGCAAUCAAGGCCGUCGUCCUCCCCAUCUCCGACGUUGCCGGUGUCACCAAAGGAAAGCUCCGUCAGAUUAAUAAUGUUUACAAAGAUAUUGUGAUCGGCAUUGUCAUCUUCUUUAAGGAUCAUGUCCCCGCUCCCAAUUCUCAUCCCCCACCGACGUCUGGUGCAGGUGAAACUGAGCUUCUAAAAAUUGGUUCUUCCAUGGAUCCUUAUUCCCAAACAUUGGUAGAUGUAUAUCCCCGCCUGGUGCUCUCUCGACAUUGAAUGCCACUAUAGUUGAAGGUGCUGUUAUUCCAAAAACUUCCGUGGAUGUAUGUCCCUAAUCUGCUGCUCCAUCGACCUCAAAUACUACUGCAACGAAUGGUGUUUUCACUCCCUUGAAGCAGAGAAGGCUCAAGGAAACGAAAGUACCUCAUAGUCAUUUCUCCAGAGCCAUGAGGUAAGUUAAUACAUACUUCUACUCACUGCUAUUAGUGAUUAUAAUCAACUGGCAUGUUUAUGCAAUUCUGUUGCAAAAGGUACACUUAAUUAGAAUAUACCAUUCAUGAUAGUCUCAAUGAAGUAUAGUUGUUGUAACUUAUUCACUUAGUAUCUGAUAUGUUGUUGUAGGGCACAAUGUAAUGGAUUUAUGUUUUACGAGUGUUUGAAGAAAACAAAAUGAGUGAUGUCAAAAUACGAGGCUUAUUUUAUUUGUGAGAUGAAUAUCAAUCUUUCAAUGUAGUUUAUGUAGGUGCCUUUAUGGAGUGUAGCAAUUACCUAAUUUAACUCGUCAUUUCGAUUGUUAUGACCUAUGUUUUCACUAGUGCAGCUCACUUAAUGAUUGGAUUCCGUUUUAGUAUUGUAGAUUGUAUUCUCAAACUUAUGCUUUUAUGUUUAAUAAGCUAGAGCUAACUUUUGAAUCUCAAGAGAAAAUGAUAUUAGCAUGAGUUUAGUUUUAUUAUUUGAAGUAUGAUUGAAGGUUUGCUGGACUUUGAGCUGGUCUUGCUCGGGGGACACUUCAGGAGUCUACAAAGAGGGCCUUGAUUGGUACUUCUUACUCAGAAAACAACCCACAUGCCCUUUCCCUAUACUUGUCUGAGAGAAAUGCAUAACGUUUAACUCUUGCAUUAUGCAUAAUGCGUGGAGCCGCUCUCAAAUUAGGCCAAAUGUUGAGCAUCCAGGAUGAAUCUGUAGUACCUACUAUAGUAUGUAACUGCAUAUUCAUUGAGAUUAUGAGUUCUUCCAUGUUAUAUGAAUGUAUGCAUGCCCGAACAUUCUCUUUCUCAUUUCUUAUGAUAAAAGUAUGGCCCUAAUUAUUUACCGAAGAUAAUUGUUCUGGCAGUUUAUGGCUAUACUUUGUUGCACAUACAUGGUGCAUCAUUUCUCUCCUCUUGCCAGAUCUCCUUCUUAACUUGACUUGAAUUCAUUUAAAUUUUUACUAGAAUGAUGUUUUACAAUGUAACCAAGUAAAUAUAGAAGCUUGUUCAAACAAGAAGUCAUACUUGGUACAAUUUUACAUUAGAAAAAAGAACUAGUGUUGAAUGAUCGUAUUUUGUGAAUCGUACUUGAAGAAUAGAGUUGCUAGAUGUUUAAAGUUCUAGAUUAGAAAAAAAGGCUUUAUUUAUGGGCUGGUUGAUUUUGUAGUUGCAACUGGCAACAUUUUAAUUAUGAUGGUUUAUGUGCAUGGAUCACUUGAUAAAAUUACACAUGUCAGAUAUCUUUAAGUUUUGGUUUUCUUAUGGGAUUGUGAGAGUGAUAUUUUUUUUUCUGAUGAUGAUAUUUAAUUAGAGUGCCAACCAUAUUGCCGAUGAAGAAGAGCAAAUGAUAGGCAUGUAGAUAAGGGCAAUGUUUUUUUUGUUUUUUUAGAAGUUCAAACUUCCAUCACCACAUUCAAUCUUUGAAUUUUUUUAACCAACCUUUCCAUAUCCAUACAAACUAUAAUUUUAUGGUUUCUGAUUAACCGUGAUAUCUCAUAUGCCAUUUCAAAUAUUAGGAGCUUUAGAUAUUGUCCGUCAGGUGCAGAUCAGAUCCCAAAGAAUCAGCUCAAUCAAGUUUUGGAUUCUGAAUUGGGUUCCAACUGGUCAUCAAAUAUGACUAGUUUUGACUAUGAGCCAAUGGCAGCAGCAAGUUUAGGACAACGGGCAAUGAAGUUCAGCGAUGUAAUUUAUGCUUAUAUUUGAUUCCCGUAGUGUGAUUUCAGUUGUGCAAUCACUUAAUUCAAUAUUUCCCUAUUCUUGAUGUUAAUUAGCUAUAUAUAAACAUGGCUAAAUUGGAGAGAAAUAUUGUGCAAUGGAUCUGGAUAUUGUUUGAUAAGAAGUACUCAAGCUUAGGUUUAGCACAAAUUAGAUGACAUAUGGUGUCAUUUGAUUGCAAUAGAAAAUACCAAAACCGGAGGCAUUUCUUUGAGUUUCACACAUAUCUGAACUCAUUGUCUUUUCAGGCAAAAUAUAUAUCCGUAUUUGUUCAUCUGUGCAUCUUAUUAUUCAUCAAAAGGUUUCGCUGGAUCUAAUUGAUCUGCAGUUGUCGUGUUUCAUCUCCCGAAUCCUGAUUCUUCUAAAAUAACAUUAGGUCCAUCGUGUUGUCACGACGGAAGGUUUGGAGGUUGCAAUCAAAAUUCAGUAUCCAGGAGUUGCAGAUAGCAUUGAUAAUGUUAAACUGCUAUUAACCUAUACAUACUUGUUACAAGAAAAAAUGUAACUGGACAAUGCAAUGAAGGUAGAAUUUUUACGUUCCAGUAUUUUGCUUACUUUUAUGAAGAUAUUUGAUGUAUAUUACAAUAGAUAAUUCUUGGGCCUCAUUAAUAGUAAGCAUGUGUCUUCUUGUAUUAAAAUUUGUGUUGUACCUGCAACAUUAUGAGGACCUUGGUUUAACAAGCUCGAGUUUGUUCUUUUCCUUCAAUAAUUGGUGUUGUUUGCUUUGUUGCAGCCUUACUUGUCUCGGUGAUCUGAAUUUUUGUUUGCUUAACUCUUUCAUGUUUUUGUUGGCUCGAUCAUGCUUCUGGAAUUGAUAUGCUUGUAUCAGCUUAGAUAAAACUGCCACUUCUAUGUUAUUGGAUAUCUACUUUAGCUUACACUACUAAAAUUUGCAUUUUGAUGCCCACGAAGAUCCUGUGUUGUAAAAUCUUUAGCCAGGAGAUUCUCUCAGUUUCUAAGUAAUCUGUAAAAAUGUUAAAAAAAAAAAGGUAUUAGAAUAAAGGAGAAGGUAUUGAAAAAAAAAAAAUUUAUUGUCCGAUAAAAAAGAGAAAAAAGAAAGAGAAGGUAUUGAAGACUUUAAUUGAGUCAUGACUACAUACCCACAAUGCCGGAAUUUGUGAUAUGUUGCAAGUUCACUGGAUGUGACAGUUCCAGUUUUUGGUAAGUUGUUGGUUGUAAAUAUAUAAUAAUAUGAAAUGCUAAAUAAAAUAAUGGUUUUGGUUUGUCUGUUGAUCCUAGACCUUAAGUUACCUUGUCACAUGCACUUAUGGAAGUAUACCAAGUGAAAUAGUAUAGUUAAUUCAGCUGUGGUUGAGGAAUCAAUGCUUGAAUUUGCAGGAAUUUUAUUUGCAUUGGGUACAUGUUGUAUGUGCUGAUAUAUACUAUUAACAUGUGGUCGUAUGUGUCUCCUGAUAUAAUCUGUAUUUGUGCUAAUACUCAUUGUUAGAAUGGAAAAAAUGAAAAUAAACUAGGAUUCAAACGGCAGCGAAAAACAGUUUUACUGUAGCAAAGUUGCAAUAUCGAAUGAACCCACUCUCUGAUAUAGAGAUGGGAAAGACUACUAAAGAAAGGCUUCUUCCAUAAGACAUGCUGUAAUCUACUAACGUAGAUAACAUAAAUUACCCAAUGUAAUAGGGUUCUAGUCAAUGACAAUUUUGAAAAUAUUGUCAGCUGUAACUUGAGGUUACAUGAACUGUUAUGAAUUAUUGUUGCAUCAAUAAAUAAUAUUGUAAGACCGUGUAGUAGGUCUAGAAAUUAAUUCAUAUAAAGAAGGUAAAUAAUUCUGUCAAGAGUUGUGUUCCAAAAUAGUUGGAAUAAACCUCGCAAUACUUGUCUUUCACGGUUGUAUACCUAGGAAUCAAUCAUGAUUUGGAAGCUUUGAUCUCAUUUCAAACAUUUUGUCUUUUGGCUUCUUCUAAUUAUGAUAUAAUUAUUUCUUAGUGGGUCUCAAGUUCUCAAGCCAUAAACUUUAUGCACCUUUCUGACUGCAACUUUUAUGACCUGACCUGUGAAAAUUCAUUCUAUAUUUUUUUACAGUUACACAAAAAUGGAGAUACACCAGAUCUGUGAUGGCAUGUGUGAUUGUGACACCUUCGUGACUUCUUACUCAGGUUGCGAAAGAGGAACUUUCUCGUGAAUGUGACUAUGAAUUGUAGGCCAAAUAUCAGAAAAGGUUUCGGAGUCUCCUGACUAAUACAAAGGUCUUUUAAGUUCCAUUUGUGUUGUAUAAUAUAUCUAGUAAAAGAGUCCUAUCUACUGAAUUGGUCCCGGGUAUUUGCUUCACUAUACAUUAUUUUUCUUUUACUACAAUAAUAUUAGAAUAAUAAGUAAUCAGGUUAUUCAUGCAUAUAGUACGCUUAGUUCAUCCAGUAAGUACGACGUAUAGACUAUUCAUCAAGUAAGUACAAUGUAUAAUGGUAAAGUUCGGGUUAUUUAUGGAUAUAGUACGCUAUGUUCAUCAAGUAAGUACAAUGUAUAAACUGGUAAAGUUAGGGUUAUUCGUGAAUAGUACGCUUUUGUUGGCCAGAGAGAGGGAGGAAGGGUGCUGGUUGGUGGGAUUGGGCGGGAGAGAGGGGUAGGCUGGUUUGUGUGCUUGGGCAGGAGAGAUAGGGGUUGGUUGGUGGUCUUGGGCCGAAGAGAGAUGGGGGAUUGGUUGGUGGGCUUGGGCCGGAGAGAGAGGGGUUGGUUGGUGGGCUUGGGCCGGAGAGAGAGGGGGUGGGUUGGUGGGCUUGUGGCCGAAGAGAGAGUGGGGAGCUGGUUGGUGGGCUUGAGCUGAAGAGAGAGAGGGGGCCGGUUGGUGGGCUUGGGUCGGAGAAAGAUGGGGCUAGUUGGUGAGCUUGGGCUGAGAUAUAGGGGUUGGUUGGUGGGCAUGGACUCGAAGAGAGAUGGGGGAUUGGUUGAUGGGCUUGGGCCGGAGAGAGGGUGCUGUUUGGUGGGCUUGGGCUUGAGAGAGCGGGGUGGUUGGUGGGCUUGAGCCGAAGAGAGAGAAGGGGGCCUGUUGGUGGGCCUAGAGUGAUAGGGGCUGGUUCUUGGGCUUGGAACGAAGAGAUAUGGGGUGGGUUGGUGGAAUUGGGCCGAAGAGAGAAAAUGAGGUUGGUUGAUGGGCUGGGGCCGGUGAUAGAGAGGGGGGUUGAUUGGUGGGUUUGGGCUGGGGAGAGAGAUGUUGAGAUAGUGGACUUUUGGAGUUUGGUCUUGGCCAAUUUAGCCCAAAUCACAAAUCAAAUGAAAAACCAGAAUUUAAUAGAAGAUCUAUAAUGAUGAAUAAUGACAUAGUAACUAACUAACUAAUAAAAAAAAAUCUAAUCAAAUCUUCCGUAUAUAACGGAAAAAGCUCUCAAUACUCGAAUAAUUUAGGAAUCGAAUUAGGUUUGUGAUCUUUUGUAUUGGUAAUAAUCUGUGUUUGGAAUAUUAGAAAGUCUUGGGCACAACAUUGCCAACGCAGCGGCAAGACAUAAGCUGGUUCUGUUUGCAUUGUAUGAAGACAAAGAAUGGACACGUUACGUGAUUAAUUCAUACAAACAGAGUAGAGUAUUUCGGAGAUCCAUCCCAUUAGAAUAGUUGUGGGCUGAUUGAUUGAAUUUUUUGGGGUAGCUAUGUUUGACUCAGACAUCGAUGGUAUCUUUAAGGGACAUUGCGAGAGUGUUGGAUAGGUUAUCUCUGGUGGCUAAGGAGGGCAUCAGCCGCUCCAACACCUUUCCAUUAGAAACCGCAAUCAAGGCCGUCGUCCUCCCCAUCUCCGACGUUGCCGGUGUCACCAAAGGAAAGCUCCGUUAGAUUGAUAAUGUUCACAGAGAUACUGUCACCGACAAGGUCAUUUUCUUUAAGGAUCAUGUUUGACAUAUACAUCGAUAGUAUAAUAAAUUAUAUUUCUAGUUGCAAAAAAACCUCUUAUUGCGGCCAACUCAUAAACCAUCUAUCCCUUCCAUUCUUUUAAGCGGCGGCUCCAUCUUAACGAGGCAGCUCUCUGCAAUUUUUUUUUUCUUUCACUCUUCAAUUUUUUUCAUCCGCCACUGCAAAAUAUUAUUAUAAUUGUCACAGAACUUGCACAUCUCUCAAACCUCAUUCCAUAAAUAAAAUUCAGGUAUGUACACAUUUUUUUGUUUUUGGCGUUUUGUUUUGAAACCGGGUUUUACCGGGUUUUAUCCAGUUUUGCGCGAGUUUGUCACCGGUUUUGAGUGGUUCGACCAGGCCCUUUCCGGUUCCGAGCAGAUCGACUCGGGUUUUCAUUUUUCACGGUUUUGGCUGUUUAACCGGACGGGAUUAGCUACGGGUGCAGUUGAACCGAUCGGACCGGCCGGUCCGAUCCGCUUACAACAUUGCUUUGUAUUGGUAAUAAUCUAUGUUUGGAAUAUUAGAAAGUCUUGGGCACAACAUUUCCAACGCAGCGGCAAGAGACAAGCUGGUUCUGUUUGUGUUGUAUGAGGACAAAGAAUGGACAUGUUCAUGAUUAACUCAUACAAACAUAGUAGGGUAUUCCGGAGUUCCAUCCCAUUUUGAAUUUUUUUUGGAGCUGAUCGAUUGAAAUUUCAUUGAAUUAGGGUUAGCUAAGUUUGACAUAGACAUCGAUGGUAUCUUUAAGGGACAUUGCGAGAGUGUUGGAUGGUUUAUCUCUGGUGGCUAAGGAGGGCAUCAGCCGCUUCAACAUCAUUCCAUUGGAAACCGCAAUCAAGGUUUGUCGUCCUCUCCGUCGGCGACGUUGCCGGACUCACUAAAGGAAAGCUCGGUCAGAUUGAUAAUGUUCACAGAGGUAUUGGCAACGACAUUGUCAUCUUCUUUAAGAAUCAUGUUCCCGCUCCCAAUUCUCAUACCCCAUCGACGCUUGGUGCAGAUGCAACUGUGCUUCUAAAUAUUUGGUCUUCCAUGGAUCCAGAUUCCCAAACUUCCGUGGAUGUUGAGAUAGUGGACUUUUGGAGUUUGGUCUUGGCCAAUUUAGCCCAAAUCACAAAUCAAAUGAAAAACCAGAAUUUAAUAGAAGAUCUAUAAUGAUGAAUAAUAACAUAUUAACUAACUAACUAAUAAAAACAAAUCUAAUCAAAUCUUCCGUAUAUAACGGAAAAAGCUCUCAAUACUCGAAUAAUUUAGGAAUCGAAUCAGGUUUGUGAUCUUUUGUAUUGGUAAUAAUCUGUGUUUGGAAUAUUAGAAAGUCUUGGGCACAACAUUGCCAACGCAGCGGCAAGACAUAAGCUGGUUCUGUUUGCAUUGUAUGAAGACAAACAAUGGACACGUUACGUGAUUAAUUCAUACAAACAGAGUAGAGUAUUUCGGAGAUCCAUCCCAUUAGAAUAGAUGUGGGCUGAUUGAUUGAAUUUUUUGGGGUAGCUAUGUUUGACUCAGACAUCGAUGGUAUCUUUAAGGGACAUUGCGAGAGUGUUGGAUAGGUUAUCUCUGGUGGCUAAGGAGGGCAUCAGCCGCUCCAACACCUUUCCAUUAGAAACCGCAAUCAAGGCCGUCGUCCUCCCCAUCUCCGACGUUGCCGGUGUCACCAAAGGAAAGCUCCGUUAGAUUGAUAAUGUUCGCAGAGAUACUGUCACCGACAAGGUCAUUUUCUUUAAGGAUCAUGUUUGACAUAUACAUCGAUAGUAUAAUAAAUUAUAUUUCUAGUUGCAAAAAAACCUCUUAUUGCGGCCAACUCAUAAACCAUCUAUCCCUUCCAUUCUUUUAAGCGGCGGCUCCAUCUUAACGAGGCAGCUCUCUGCAAUUUUUUUUUUCUUUCACUCUUCAAUUUUUUUCAUCCGCCACUGCAAAAUAUUAUUAUAAUUGUCACAGAACUUGCACAUCUCUCAAACCUCAUUCCAUAAAUAAAAUUCAGGUAUGUACACAUUUUUUGUUUUUGGCGUUUUGUUUUGAAACCGGGUUUUACCGGGUUUUAUCCAGUUUUGCGCGAGUUUUUCACCGGUUUUGAGUGGUUCGACCAGGCCCUUUCCGGUUCCGAGCAGAUCGACUCGGGUUUUCAUUUUUCACGGUUUUGGCUGUUUAACCGGACGGGAUUAGCUACGGGUGCAGUUGAACCGAUCGGACCGGCCGGUCCGAUCCGCUUACAACAUUGCUUUGUAUUGGUAAUAAUCUAUGUUUGGAAUAUUAGAAAGUCUUGGGCACAACAUUUCCAACGCAGCGGCAAGAGACAAGCUGGUUCUGUUUGUGUUGUAUGAGGACAAAGAAUGGACAUGUUCAUGAUUAACUCAUACAAACAUAGUAGGGUAUUCCGGAGUUCCAUCCCAUUUUGAAUUUUUUUUGGAGCUGAUCGAUUGAAAUUUCAAUGAAUUAGGGUUAGCUAAGUUUGACAUAGACAUCGAUGGUAUCUUUAAGGGACAUUGCGAGAGUGUUGGAUGGUUUAUCUCUGGUGGCUAAGGAGGGCAUCAGCCGCUUCAACAUCAUUCCAUUGGAAACCGCAAUCAAGGUUUGUCGUCCUCUCCGUCGGCGACGUUGCCGGACUCACUAAAGGAAAGCUCGGUCAGAUUGAUAAUGUUCACAGAGGUAUUGGCAACGACAUUGUCAUCUUCUUUAAGAAUCAUGUUCCCGCUCCCAAUUCUCAUACCCCAUCGACGCUUGGUGCAGAUGCAACUGUGCUUCUAAAUAUUUGGUCUUCCAUGGAUCCAGAUUCCCAAACUUCCGUGGAUGUUGAGAUAGUGGACUUUUGGAGUUUGGUCUUGGCCAAUUUAGCCCAAAUCACAAAUCAAAUGAAAAACCAGAAUUUAAUAGAAGAUCUAUAAUGAUGAAUAAUAACAUAUUAACUAUCUAACUAAUAAAAACAAAUCUAAUCAAAUCUUCCGUAUAUAACGGAAAAAGCUCUCAAUACUCGAAUAAUUUAGGAAUCGAAUCAGGUUUGUGAUCUUUUGUAUUGGUAAUAAUCUGUGUUUGGAAUAUUAGAAAGUCUUGGGCACAACAUUGCCAACGCAACGGCAAGACAUAAGCUGGUUCUGUUUGCAUUGUAUGAAGACAAAGAAUGGACACGUUACGUGAUUAAUUCAUACAAACAGAGUAGAGUAUUUCGGAGAUCCAUCCCAUUAGAAUAGAUGUGGGCUGAUUGAUUGAAUUUUUUGGGGUAGCUAUGUUUGACUCAGACAUCGAUGGUAUCUUUAAGGGACAUUGCGAGAGUGUUGGAUAGGUUAUCUCUGGUGGCUAAGGAGGGCAUCAGCCGCUCCAACACCUUUCCAUUAGAAACCGCAAUCAAGGCCGUCGUCCUCCCCAUCUCCGACGUUGCCGGUGUCACCAAAGGAAAGCUCCGUUAGAUUGAUAAUGUUCACAGAGAUACUGUCACCGACAAGGUCAUUUUCUUUAAGGAUCAUGUUUGACAUAUACAUCGAUAGUAUAAUAAAUUAUAUUUCUAGUUGCAAAAAAACCUCUUAUUGCGGCCAACUCAUAAACCAUCUAUCCCUUCCAUUCUUUUAAGCGGCGGCUCCAUCUUAACGAGGCAGCUCUCUGCAAUUUUUUUUUUCUUUCACUCUUCAAUUUUUUUCAUCCGCCACUGCAAAAUAUUAUUAUAAUUGUCACAGAACUUGCACAUCUCUCAAACCUCAUUCCAUAAAUAAAAUUCAGGUAUGUACACAUUUUUUGUUUUUGGCGUUUUGUUUUGAAACCGGGUUUUACCGGGUUUUAUCCAGUUUUGCGCGAGUUUUUCACCGGUUUUGAGUGGUUCGACCAGGCCCUUUCCGGUUCCGAGCAGAUCGACUCGGGUUUUCAUUUUUCACGGUUUUGGCUGUUUAACCGGACGGGAUUAGCUACGGGUGCAGUUGAACCGAUCGGACCGGCCGGUCCGAUCCGCUUACAACAUUGCUUUGUAUUGGUAAUAAUCUAUGUUUGGAAUAUUAGAAAGUCUUGGGCACAACAUUUCCAACGCAGCGGCAAGAGACAAGCUGGUUCUGUUUGUGUUGUAUGAGGACAAAGAAUGGACAUGUUCAUGAUUAACUCAUACAAACAUAGUAGGGUAUUCCGGAGUUCCAUCCCAUUUUGAAUUUUUUUUGGAGCUGAUCGAUUGAAAUUUCAAUGAAUUAGGGUUAGCUAAGUUUGACAUAGACAUCGAUGGUAUCUUUAAGGGACAUUGCGAGAGUGUUGGAUGGUUUAUCUCUGGUGGCUAAGGAGGGCAUCAGCCGCUUCAACAUCAUUCCAUUGGAAACCGCAAUCAAGGUUUGUCGUCCUCUCCGUCGGCGACGUUGCCGGACUCACUAAAGGAAAGCUCGGUCAGAUUGAUAAUGUUCACAGAGGUAUUGGCAACGACAUUGUCAUCUUCUUUAAGAAUCAUGUUCCCGCUCCCAAUUCUCAUACCCCAUCGACGCUUGGUGCAGAUGCAACUGUGCUUCUAAAUAUUUGGUCUUCCAUGGAUCCAGAUUCCCAAACUUCCGUGGAUGUUGAGAUAGUGGACUUUUGGAGUUUGGUCUUGGCCAAUUUAGCCCAAAUCACAAAUCAAAUGAAAAACCAGAAUUUAAUAGAAGAUCUAUAAUGAUGAAUAAUAACAUAUUAACUAACUAACUAAUAAAAACAAAUCUAAUCAAAUCUUCCGUAUAUAACGGAAAAAGCUCUCAAUACUCGAAUAAUUUAGGAAUCGAAUCAGGUUUGUGAUCUUUUGUAUUGGUAAUAAUCUGUGUUUGGAAUAUUAGAAAGUCUUGGGCACAACAUUGCCAACGCAGCGGCAAGACAUAAGCUGGUUCUGUUUGCAUUGUAUGAAGACAAAGAAUGGACACGUUACGUGAUUAAUUCAUACAAACAGAGUAGAGUAUUUCGGAGAUCCAUCCCAUUAGAAUAGAUGUGGGCUGAUUGAUUGAAUUUUUUGGGGUAGCUAUGUUUGACUCAGACAUCGAUGGUAUCUUUAAGGGACAUUGCGAGAGUGUUGGAUAGGUUAUCUCUGGUGGCUAAGGAGGGCAUCAGCCGCUCCAACACCUUUCCAUUAGAAACCGCAAUCAAGGCCGUCGUCCUCCCCAUCUCCGACGUUGCCGGUGUCACCAAAGGAAAGCUCCGUUAGAUUGAUAAUGUUCACAGAGAUACUGUCACCGACAAGGUCAUUUUCUUUAAGGAUCAUGUUUGACAUAUACAUCGAUAGUAUAAUAAAUUAUAUUUCUAGUUGCAAAAAAACCUCUUAUUGCGGCCAACUCAUAAACCAUCUAUCCCUUCCAUUCUUUUAAGCGGCGGCUCCAUCUCAGCGAGGCAGCUCCCUGCAACUAUUUUUUUUUCUUCCACUCUUCUUUCAUAACUCAUCCGCCACAACAAAAUAUUAUUAUAAUUGUCACAAAACUUGCACAUCUCUCAAACCUCAUUCCAUAAAUCAAAUUCAGGUAUGUACACAUUUUUUUUGUUUUUGGCCUUUUGUUUUGAAACCGGGUUUGACCGGGUUUUUGCCGGUUUUGCGCGAGUUUUUCACCGGUUUUGAGUAGUUCGACCGGACCCUUUCUAGUUUCGAGCAGAUCAACUCCGGUUUUCAUUUUUCACGGUUUUGGGUGUUGAACCGGACUGGAUCAACUAGGGGUGCAGUUGAACUGAUCGGACCGGCCGGUCCGAUCCACUUACAACAUUGCUUUGUAUUUGUAAUAAUCUGUGUUUGGAAUAUUAGAAAGUCUUGGGCACAACAUUGCCAACGCAAUGGCAAGAGACAAGCUGGUUCCGUUUGUAUUGUAUGAGGACAAAUAAUGGACGCGUUACAUGAUUAACUCAUACAAACAGAGUAGGGUAUUCAGAGUUCCAUCCCAUUUUGAAUUUUUUAAGGGGCUAAUCGAUUGAAAUUUCAAUGAAUUAGGGUUAGCUAAGUUUGACACAGACAUCGAUGGUAUCUUUAAGGGACAUUGCGAGAGUGUUGUAUGGGUUAUUUCUAGUGGCUAAGGAGGGCAUCAGCCGCUCCAACAUCAUUCCAUUGGAAACCGCAAUCAAGGUCGUCGUCCUCUCCGUCGCCGACAUUGCCGGACUCACCAAAGGAAAGCUCCAUCAGAUUGACAAUGUUUACAGAGAUAUUGGCAACGACACUGUAAUCUUCUUUACGGAUCAUGUUCCAGCUCCCAAUUCUCAUCCCCCAGGGAUGCCUGGUGCAGAUGCAACUGUGCUUCUAAAUAUUUCUUCUUCCAUGGAUUCAAAUUCCCAAACUUUCGUGGAUGUAUAUCCCCCACCUGAUGCUUCCUCGACCUCGAAUGCCACUAUAGUUGACGGUACUGUCAUUCCUGAAACUUCCGUGGAUGUAUGUCCUCAGUCUGCUGCUCCAUCGACCUCAAAUACUACUGCAGUGAACGGUGUUGUCACUCCCUUGAAGCAGAGGAGGCUCAGGGAAAGGAAAGUCCCUUCUACUCCUUUCACCAGAGCCAUGGGGUAAGUGAAUCCAUACUUCUACUCACUGCUAUUAGUGUAUAUUAUCAACUGGUAUGUUUAUGCAAUUCUGUUUCAAAAAAUACACUUAAUUACUUCAAUAAAUAUGGUGAGAAUAUAUGAUUCAUGAUAGUCUCAAUGAAUUAUAGUUGUUGUAACUUAUUCACUUAGUAUCUGAUAUGUUGUUGUUAUAGGGCACAAUGUAAUGGAUUUAUGUUUGACUAGUGUUUGAAGAAAAAAAAACGAGUGAUGUCAAAAUACGAAGCUUAUUUUAUUUGUCAAAUGAAUAUCAAUCUUUCAAUGUAGUUUCCGUAGGUGCCUUUUUUCGAAAAUUACAUAUUUCACCCCAAAAUCUCAAGAUAUAUACAUGCAAGAUCACUAGAAGUUCGAAAAUCAAUUUUUUUCUUGCAAAACCUUUUUAAAUCCGAAAUUUUUGUUCAAUAAAUGCUGAAAACAGAUUUAAAAACACAAUUAUGACCGACUUCUUGAAAAUUAAAGAUUUGCCUCAAAAAAAUUUCGAUCCACAGAUGCAACACCAUAAAAGUUCAAAAUUCAUUUUUCUUGUAACCCUUUUUUGAAAUCCAAAAUUUUCAAUGCUUUUGGCCAAUAAAACUUGUAUCUACCCACUAUCAACACAAAUGAUGCAUGCAAGAACAAUAAAUCAACACUCAACACGUCUUUUCCAUUUUCCCCCAAAAAGCCCUAACUCUUUCGAAAUCAUUCCAAAUCUUAUAAGAAAUUUUGAAAACUCUUUUUAUACUAUUGAUACCUCCUAAUUGCAGCAAAAAAUCAGAAUUUCUUACCUGCAAAUCGAAGAAAAGAAAACAACCGAAGGAGGGAAUGCUUUCAAGCACCAAAAUCUAACCAAACCACUUUGAUUGUGAAUGAAAUGGUGUGAGCUUCUAAGAGGGAUGUAUUAUUAUCUCCCAUGAGUAGGGAAGAAGACUUUAUGGUGUUUUUGGUGUAUUCUAAAGCAAGGGUUAAAUACGGGACCUUCAUUUUUAUUUUUGAUUUUCUUGCAAAUUUGGAGUUUGAGGUGGAAGAAGGGGAGGCCGAUUGUGGAGGUGGUGGCUUCAGUGGAAAUGGGGAAAGAAGACAAGUAAGAUGAGUAUGUGGAAGAAGAAUGAGAAAUAAGGGUGUCUUUUGGGAUUUCUUUGAGUGUGAGAUUAAUGAAAUGAUUAGUGUGUGCCAAGUGGAAAGACAUGCAAAUUAUCACUAAUUUAUUUAUUUAAAAUAAACCCAACUUGCACACUACACACACAAUCCGGACAUAUAUAUAUAUAUAUAUAUAUAUAUAUAUAUAUAUAAUCACACUCUAGUACUAUAUCUAUAAUUCACAUAAGUUAUCAAAUUUCAAAAAUAAUCUACCAAAUAAUUAAGAUAUGCAAUUAUUCACAUAAGUCACGUAAUUCAUGAAAUUCCUAGAAUUUCAAUUUACGGAAAUGACACUAAAUCACAUAAAUCACACAUAUAUAUCUUCUAGUGGAUUUCACAAAAUGAAUAUCAUGUAAUCACCACAUUCCAAAUAAUUACAUAACGCAUGUAAUUAUUCACGUAAGUCACGCAAUUGGAUUCAUGUCACUAAUUAAUAUCACGUAAUAAUAUUGCCUAUGGAUUCUCGAGUUAGGAAUAUUAGUUUCAGGUUUUAGGGUUUUGGAAAGGUGGGGUAUUACAAUUAUUUCUUCUAUCUGGUCUUAUUUAGUGCAUGAAUCUAGCUAAUUUAUGUUGUUAUGUGUUAUUAUUAGAAUUGACCGACAUAUCGUUUUAAUAAUUAGAACAUGGGUAGAAGAGCCUUCGAGUAGUUUUCACCGGAUGAGUGUGUCAAUUGCAUGUGGUAUCGUAGACAUACAUAUAUCACCUUAGGUAGCCGUUUACGAGACUUGUUAGUUAAUGUUUUAUUCAUAUUUGGUUUGCAUAGACAUAUAGUGAACCGUUUAUGACUAAUAGACUCAUAAUACUCGCGACAGUGGGUUAUGAGUAAUUUAGUGUCUCGGGUUAGUAAUCAUGAAUCUUAACUUGCAUAAUAGAUGUUUAAUUGGGUGAUGAAUUAUCUCAUAGGGGAAGAUAAAAUCCUAAUUUGUUUUUAUUGAUAUUCUUUUGCGUUUAUUAGCUUUCAUAAUUAGUCUAAUUAUUUAGUUGAUUAAAUUGAACAACCUUGCGUAGGCUAGAUAAAAAUCAUAGUUGUUAGAAUUCGGUACUUAGGAUUAGGUAAUUUGAGUAUGUAUUCCCUGUGGGAUAGACAUCCGACUCUCACGAGUCCACUUUUACUACUUUUUUGCGAUACGUGCAAUUGCGUGUUAGAUAUUUAGCCCAACACUAUGUUCAUUAGGUAAUUGUUUGGACAUCCUGAACUCUAUCAUAAUUAUUCAUAGUACCGUCUUUUUUGGGAUAAUUUUGUUGUGGGGUUAUUUUGCUAUUGUAUUAAAUAGUAGGGGGUUGUUUACAAAUUUCCCACAUAAAUAUUUGCUUGCUCUCAAUUUUGAACAUUUUAUAUGUCGAUUCUUAAUUCCUAAACCUAGGGGGGAAAUCGGAACGAAAUUUCCGAUUUCCGCCGAUUCCGAGCCAAAAAAUUUUCGAUUUUGGAACAAUUUUCUCAAUUACGAAUUCCGAAAAUCCGAUUUCCGAAAUUUCCGAAAAAAAUCGGAUCGGGAUCGGACUUUGAUAUAGAAUUGCCGGAAUUUCCGAAUUCCAAUCCGAAAUUAUUCCAAAAAUUUCUGGUUUUUUUCCAAUUUGUUUUUUAAUAUAUUUAAAAAUUGUUAUAUAUGUGUCUUCAUGCUAAAACCAAUAAAUGCUUUGGGCUGGUAUGCAGAAUUAUUUGUUUGAAGAAUAUAAAAAAUGUGAUCCAUAUAUUAUUGGCCCAUUUAUAAAUUACAACUAGCCCCUUUUCAUCGUCUUUGUUUCUUUACUUUUCCUCACAAUGAAUCCUAUUUUUUUUUUUUUUUUUUUUACCGCACUAGUUAAAAAUUGAAGAGCCUUUGAUGGUUUUGGAGGCUUUAGAUGAAAGUAAAUUUUGUUCUCCAAUUUCUUUGUCUAUGAAUCCUUUUUCUACAUUCUUUUUUGCUUUUGUUGGUUGAAACAUCAUUGCUUCCGAUUCUUUUAUAGCCAAAAACCUCUGAUUGCAGAAUUCUUUUAUACUUACUUGUUCAUCCAUUCCAUUUUUUUCUUUGUUUUCCGCUGCAGUUCAAUUUCUUUACAUCUUAAUUUUUUCUUCAAUUUCUUACAGAUUUUCGGAAAAAAAAUUCUAAAUUUACAUGAUAUUCGAUUUUUUCCGAAAUUCCGAAAUUUCCGAUUUUUUCGGAAUCGGAAUGAGUUUCUAAAUUCCGAUCCGAUCCGUCCGAUUUCCACCCCGUUAUCCUUGGGUCAUCUUCUCAACAGCAAAAUCCGAGCUUUCAUCACUCAAAAAGGUAUUUCAUUCUGCUGUUUUGACGACAAAAAAAAAAUACUUUAACUUUUGCGUGGGGUGUUUGAUUUGGCUUCUUUGAUUUCACAAAUUGAACUCCAUAACCUUCGUUUUGCAAUUUUGCCCAAUUUCCACUUCCUUCUAGGGUAAUAAUGUUUUCAUUUUGGUUUACGUGAUUGAGAAUAAUUAUAUCUGAGGAUUUUGCCGCUAAGUGAUUAGAUAGGGCUUCUUACAGGUUUAAUGGCGGUUGUAUCAUGUAGUCUGCUAUUUCUGGGGAUUUAAUCUCGUUGUAGAUUACCAUAUGCUAGAAACAGAAAAUCGUCGCAAAAUGUGUCACUGCCCACGAACACAAUCAAAUAUUUUGUAUGAUUAGAUUUAUUCUGAUUCUUUUAACUAUUUAACUUAAACGGAACGACGAUAGCACACAAAUUGUUUUUGGCCUAAUCGAGAAAAUGUGCUGUUAGACUCUUCUCAUGUAUGCACUUGGUGAACUAGUAGAAAAUCAAACUAGAUAAAAGCAGGCUCCUAUUUUGAUAUCACAACGCAAUUGGAUCUGUGAUUACUAGUGUUUUUUUUUUUUUUUUUUUUUUGCUCAAGAAUUUCUAAUGCGAAAAUUUAAUUGGAUCUCAAUACAAGUUAUUAUUUUAGAUGGUAUCUUUAAGGGACACUGCGAGAGUGUUGGAUGGGUUAUCUCUGGUGGCUAAGGAGGGCAUCAGCCGCUCCAACACCGUUCCAUUGGAAACUGCAAUCAAGGCCGCCAUCCUCUCCGUCUCCGAUGUUGUCGGUCUCACCAAAGGAAAACUCCGUCAGAUUGAUAAUGAUGUUCACAGACAUACUGUCACCGACAGUGUCAUCUUCUUUAAGGAUCAUGUUCCCGCUUCCAAUUCUCAUCCUCCACCGACGCCUGGUGCAGAUGCAACUGUGCUUCUAAAUAUUGGUUCUUCCAUGGAUCCAGAAUCCCAAACUUCCGUGGAUGUAUAUCCCCCGCCUGGUGCUCUCUCGACCUCGAAUGCCACUAUAGUUGACGGUGCUGUCAUUCCCGAAACUUCCGUGGAUGUAUGUCUCCAGUCUGCUGCUCCAUCGAC